rnacentral:rRNA from 1 species
CACGUAGGCACCAAGCGUUGUCCGGAUUUAUUGGGCGUAAAGAGCGCGUAGGCGGUCCGAUAAGUCGGCUGUGAAAGUCAGGGGCUCAACCCUUGAAAGCCGGCCGAUACUGUCGGACUAGAGUCCGGAAGAGGCAAGGUGGAAUUCCCGGUGUAGCGGUGAAAUGCGCAGAUAUCGGGAGGAACACCAAUGGCGAAGGCAGCUUGCUGGGACGGUACUGACGCUGAGGCGCGAAAGCCAGGGAGCAAAGCGGG